rnacentral:lncRNA from 1 species
GCCAAGCCUACACAGCUGUCACCAGGGAGCCUCCAGGCAGGGUGAGGGUCGUGAGACUCGGUAAUCACAAGGUGAAAUGGAUUAGGGUCCCGAGAGGGAUGUACCCCAUGAGGUCACGGAGGCACCCCAACCCAUCCAGACCGGGGUUGGAGCAGGGAAUCCUUCCCCAGUGAAUCCUGGUCUCAGACUGAUCAGGAAAUGGCUGGGGCAAGGGGCAAGGGCCAGCCAGAGCCAAGCCUGCAGGGAGAGCUGGGAGGGAGACCCCAGCUCCUGCAAAGGGUCCUGCACAAGCUGCAGAGUCUGGACUCUGUCCCCACAGGUGGUGGCCAGAUUCUGGUGUGACACUAUCCCGAUGCAUUUGUACCAAAGCUUAGGACUCAGGAUCCAAGGGUCUGUCAGUCCCUUGGGGUGCUGGGCCUUGGAUGUGAUGUGUCCCUGUGACCUGUUCCUCCUGGCUACAGCAGCUGUCCUUGGAUAUGUCCUUGGUGAGGCGCCCCAAACCCUAGAGACAGGCCUGUUUCCAGUCUAGCAGUGACCAGAGUGGACAGCCGUCCCUGCAGCCCUCCCUGCCAAGUCAGGCAUCCCCAUGUGCCCAGCUGAUGCCCUGUUUUCAGUUCACGAGGGUGUCCAAGGCAGCUCCAGGGUACAGCUCCCACCCGGUCCCUCCAAGGAGAGUCAGUGCCUCUCCGAGGGGUGGGAGCUGGGCGCUUUGAUGGGUGGGAGAUAGAGCUGGGGAGUCCCUGACGCUGAACACAGGACCAUCCUGGCUGGUGGGUACUAGGAAGGGACCUUGGGCAGCACAGGGCCAGGGGGGCAGCACGAAGCCCCUCUGAAGAGGAGUUGA